rnacentral:rRNA from 1 species
GAUGAACGCUGGCGGCGUGCCUAAUACAUGCCAGUCGAGCGAACAGAUGAGGAGCUUGCUCCUCUGACGUUAGCGGCGGACGGGUGAGUAACACGUGAAUAACCUACCUAUAAGACUGGGAUAACUUCGGGAAACCGGAGCUAAUACCGGAUAAUAUAUUGAACCGCAUGGUUCAAUAGUGAAAGACGGUUUUGCUGUCACUUAUAGAUGGAUCCGCGCCGCAUUAGCUAGUUGGUAAGGUAACGGCUUACCAAGGCAACGAUGCGUAGCCGACCUGAGAGGGUGAUCGGCCACACUGGAACUGAGACACGGUCCAGACUCCUACGGGAGGCAGCAGUAGGGAAUCUUCCGCAAUGGGCGAAAGCCUGACGGAGCAACGCCGCGUGAGUGAUGAAGGUCUUCGGAUCGUAAAACUCUGUUAUUAGGGAAGAACAAAUGUGUAAGUAACUAUGCACGUCUUGACGGUACCUAAUCAGAAAGCCACGGCUAACUACGUG